UGAAAAUUUCCAUCAGAGAAACAUUUUUUUCUUCUCUUCCUUCAAACGCCUGUGCCACUGUUGGAUCGAGAAGAGUUCAGGUGAAAAACCCAACUCGUGAACCCUAACCUAGGUUUCGUAAUCAACCAGUGAGAGAAAAAGGGGUGAUGAAGUUGAUACUCUUGUAUUAGUAAUCUCAGUAGCAACUUGAGGAAGGGGAUUUGGAUGUUCUUGACUGAAACUUAAGGUUGUAUUGUUUGACUAGGUGUUUCUGAGUUCAGUUGGCGGAUUGUGAAGAUUGAGGUUUGGGUAACGGUUUGAGGUAGCUCUGAUGUAAGUGGUUUUGAUUCGGCCGAAGAGGAAAUUGACGUUUGGGUCGAUUAAGUGGACUUAACUUUUGCUCGUGUGAGAUUGUUGCUGGUCUUUGUGUUUUUUUUUUUCUCUUGCAGUCUUGUAACUUUCUAAAGGUGCUUUCUUUUUUGAGUUUUUUGUAUGUAAGCGAGUCUCUAUCUCUUGAAUGUGUAUAUUGUGUAUAAUGUAAAUUACAAACAACACACUGUAAAUUAGAUGGUUAUGUAUAAUAUGAAAAGUCUAGUUUUGGUC